rnacentral:tRNA from 1 species
UGGUCUAGUGGUUAGGAUUCAGUGCUUCCACCACUGCGGCCCAGGUUCAAUCCCUGG